UCGAAUCGUAGGCGAGGGUUGUCGCUGGCCUCUCGGGGCAUGUGCACGCCCGAGCCCUUGAAUCCCAAACACCACAUGUGAACCCACCGUAGGCCUUCGGGCCUAUGUCUUAUCAUAUAAUCUGAAUGUCUAAUAGAAUGUAAACCCAUUUCGUUGCCUUGAAAACGUAACGAAGGAAA
rnacentral:misc_RNA from 1 species